ACGUAGGUGUCGAGCGUUGUCCGGAUUUAUUGGGCGUAAAGAGCCCGCAGGCGGCUUGCCAAGUUCGAGGUGAAAUCUCCCGGCUCAACCGGGAGGGUGCCUCGAAAACUGGCAGGCUUGAGGCAGGGAGAGGGAUGUGGAAUUCCCGGUGUAGUGGUGAAAUGCGUAGAUAUCGGGAGGAACACCGGUGGCGAAGGCGGAUCUCUGGCGCGUUACUGACGCUGAGGCUCGAAAGCGUGGGGAGCAAACAG
rnacentral:rRNA from 1 species